rnacentral:tRNA from 1 species
GGAAGUAUCGCCUAAUGGUAUGGCAACAGAUUGCUAAUCUGUGAGGAUAAUUCCUUUACAAGUUCAAUUCUUGUUACUUCCG